rnacentral:rRNA from 1 species
GACGAACGCUGGCGGCGUGCUUAACACAUGCAAGUCGAACGAUGAACUUGGAGCUUGCUCUGGGGGAUUAGUGGCGAACGGGUGAGUAACACGUGAGUAACCUGCCCUGGACUCUGGGAUAACUUCGAGAAAUCGGAGCUAAUACCGGAUAGGACCUUGCACCGCAUGGUGUGGGGUGGAAAGUUUUUCGGUUUGGGAUGGACUCGCGGCCUAUCAGCUUGUUGGGGAGGUAAUGGCUCACCAAGUCGUCGACGGGUAGCCGGCCUGAGAGGGUGACCGGCGACACUGGGACUGAGACACGGCCCAGACUCCUACGGGAGGCAGCAGUGGGGAAUAUUGCACAAUGGGCGCAAGCCUGAUGCAGCAACGCCGCGUGCGGGAUGACGGCCUUCGGGUUGUAAACCGCUUUUAGUAGGGAAGAAGCCUUCGGGUGACGGUACCUGCAGAGAAAGGACCGGCUAACUACGUGCCAGCCGCCGCAGUAAUAC